rnacentral:rRNA from 1 species
GGGAAGAGCAAGGACGGUACCCGAGGAAUAAGCCUCGGCUAACUACGUGCCAGCAGCCGCGGUAACACGUAGGAGGCGAGCGUUAUUCGGAUUUAUUGGGCGUAAAGGGCGUGCAGGCGGCCUGGAAAGUCCUCUGUGAAAUCUCCCGACUCAAUCGGGAGGGGUCAGAGGAAACUUCCAGGCUUGAGGACAGCAGAGGGAGGUGGAAUUCCCGGUGUAGCGGUGAAAUGCGUAGAUACCGGGAGGAACACCGGUGGCGAAGGCGGCCUCCUGGGCUGUUCCUGACGCUGAGGCGCGAAAGCGCGGGGAGCAAACAGGAUUAGAUACCCCGGUAGUCCAAGCCG